rnacentral:rRNA from 1 species
CCUACGGGAGGCAGCAGUGAGGAAUAUUGGACAAUGGGCGCAAGCCUGAUCCAGCCAUGCCGCGUGCAGGAUGACGGUCCUAUGGAUUGUAAACUGCUUUUAUACAGGAAGAGACACCUCUACGUGUAGAGACUUGACGGUACUGUAAGAAUAAGGAUCGGCUAACUCCGUGCCAGCAGCCGCGGUAAUACGGAGGAUCCAAGCGUUAUCCGGAAUCAUUGGGUUUAAAGGGUCCGUAGGCGGUUUAGUAAGUCAGUGGUGAAAGCCCAUCGCUCAACGGUGGAACGGCCAUUGAUACUGCUAGACUUGAAUUAUUAGGAAGUAACUAGAAUAUGUAGUGUAGCGGUGAAAUGCUUAGAGAUUACAUGGAAUACCAAUUGCGAAGGCAGGUUACUACUAAUUGAUUGACGCUGAUGGACGAAAGCGUGGGUAGCGAACAGGAUUAGAUACCCUGGUAGUCCACGCCGUAAACGAUGGAUACUAGCUGUUGGGAGCAAUCUCAGUGGCUAAGCGAAAGUGAUAAGUAUCCCACCUGGGGAGUACGAACGCAAGUUUGAAACUUAAAGGAAUUGACGG